rnacentral:rRNA from 1 species
UACGGGGGGGGCAAGCGUUGUUCGGAAUUACUGGGGGUAAAGGGCGCGUAGGCGGCUUGGUCAGUCCCGUGUGAAAUCCCUCGGCUCAACUGAGGAACUGCACGGGAAACUGCCUGGCUUGAGUUCGGGAGAGGGAAGCGGAAUUCCGGGUGUAGCGGUGAAAUGCGUAGAUAUCCGGAGGAACACCGGUGGCGAAGGCGGCUUCCUGGACCGACACUGACGCUGAGGCGCGAAAGCUAGGGGAGCAAACGGG